rnacentral:rRNA from 1 species
UACGUAGGGUGCGAGCGUUAAUCGGAAUUACUGGGCGUAAAGCGUGUGCAGGCGGCUUUGCAAGACAGAUGUGAAAUCCCCGGGCUCAACCUGGGAACUGCAUUUGUGACUGCAAGGCUAGAGUACGGCAGAGGGGGAUGGAAUUCCGCGUGUAGCAGUGAAAUGCGUAGAUAUGCGGAGGAACACCAAUGGCGAAGGCAAUCCCCUGGGCCUGUACUGACGCUCAUGCACGAAAGCGUGGGGAGCAAACAGG